GGGCCGUUAGCUCAGUUGGUUAGAGCAGAGGACUCAUAAUCCUUUGGUCGGGGGUUCAAGUCCCUCACGGCCUACCA
rnacentral:tRNA from 2 species